GUGGGGAAUAUUGGACAAUGGGCGAAAGCCUGAUCCAGCAAUACCGCGUGUGUGAAGAAGGCCUGCGGGUUGUAAAGCACUUUCAGAGAGGAGAAAGCUACGUAGGUUAAGAGCUAAUGUAGUUGAUGUUACUUUCAGAAGAAGCACCGGCUAACUCUGUGCCAGCAGCCGCGGUAAUACAGAGGGUGCGAGCGUUAAUCGGAAUAAUUGGGCGUAAAGGGUGCGUAGGCGGAUUUUUAAGUCAGAUGUGAAAGCCCCGGGCUCAACCUGGGAAUGGCAUUUGAUACUGGAAGUCUAGAGUAGAGAAGAGGAGAGUGGAAUUUCAGGUGUAGCGGUGAAAUGCGUAGAUAUCUGAAAGAACACCAGUGGCGAAGGCGGCUCUCUGGUCUCAUACUGACGCUGAGGCACGAAAGCGUGGGGAGCAAACAGGAUUAGAAACCCCAGUAGUCC
rnacentral:rRNA from 1 species